UCUGGCGGUCUGACUCUGCUGGAGUGGGAUUGAGCAGACCAUCAUCAUCCUCAACAACCGCAAGUUUGCAAACUCUCUGGUUGGAGUCCAGCAGCAGCUGCAGGCCUUCAACACUUACAGGACCGUAGAGAAACCACCCAAAUUCACUGAGAAAGGCAACCUGGAAGUGCUUCUGUUCACCAUCCAGAGCAAGAUGAGGGCCAACAACCAGAAAGUGUACAUGCCUCGAGAGGGCAAACUCAUCUCAGACAUCAACAAGGCGUGGGAGCGUUCUGGAGAAGGCUGAGCACGAGCCGUGGGGGGGGGGGGA